UCUUCUUUAACACACACGGAUCUGUGUCCAGCGAUCCCGUUCACAGAGUAAAUCCAUGAUUUUAAUCCUUCACGGGUAUCUGUGUUUCGGUUGAUUACUGGGCAGUUCGACGUUAUACGGAGCCAUCUUUCCUGUGGAUGGUUUUUUGGCAAUCCGGUCGACAGAUCUCAGAUUAAAUGCCAGCUUCAGGUGUUCACUCUGGUCUUGAGUUCCCUUUUGGUGAACUCGGCUGGAGAGCCUGGGUGCUGGCGGCGUCAUAUUCCUGAUCCCUUCGCUGAAGCCGUUGGCUCGUGAAGUUGGGGAAAAACCAUGACAUGCCAACAUAC
rnacentral:sRNA from 1 species